GUGGAACCAGACUGUCUCCUGCUCAGUGGUCAGCUCUGGUGUUUGUGUUACUGAACUCAGAACAGGAGCUGGAUGAGUUUAAUUUGUGGAAAUAUGACCCAUCAGAGGAAUGUCUUCUGAAGCUGCUGCCAGUGGUCAAAGCCUCCAGAAAAUCUGAGCUGUGGAGGUGUUAUCUGACAGAGUAAAGCUGUAGAGUUCUGUCCUCAGUUCUCAGCUCAAGCUCCUCCAGACUGAGAGAACUGGACCUGAGCGAGAAUAAUCUGCAGGAUUCAGGAGUGCAGCUGCCCUCUGUUGGACUGGAGAAUCCACAAUGUACACUGGAGACACUGAGGUACACACACACACAUAAUAAUAAUAAUAAUAAUAAUGAUAAUAACAACUUUAUAUAGCACAUUUCAUACAUAAAAUGCAGCUCAAAAUGCUUCACAAUGGAAAAGAUAUAAUAAAAUGAUAAAUAUAAUAUUAAAGGAGACCUAUUUUAAUCCUUUUUACAAGAUGUAAUAUAAGUCUCGGGUGUCCCCAGAAUGUGUUUGUGAGGCUUCAGCCCAAAAUACCCCACAGAUCAUUUAUUAUACCCGCUGAAAAUGCCCCUUCUUGGGUGGAAGCAAAAACACGCUGUUUUUAUGUGUGUGUCUCUUUAAAUGCAAAUGAGCUGCUGUGCCCCGCCCCCUUUCUGGAAGAGAACAGCUCCUGUUUCAGGUACUACAUCAGCAGUGGAAUCUGCUAACAAGCUCAUUUGGAAAGGCUGUAUGGAUGUAAUCUGACAGAGGAAAGCUGUAGAGUUCUGUCCUCAGUUCUCAGCUCAAACUCCUCCAGUCUGAGAGAACUAGACCUGAGUAACAAUAAACUGCAGGAUUCAGGAGUGAAGCUGCUCUCUGCUGGACUGGAGAAUCCACACUGUACACUGGAGAUAUUGAGGAUGUGUUCUUGCAGUAUUACAGAUGAAGGUUGUGCUGCUCUGGCUUCUGCUCUGAGGUCAAACUCCUCAUCAAACCUGAGAGAACUGGAUCUGUACGAUAAUAAUCCAGGAGAAUCAGGAGUGAAGCUGCUCUCUGAUCUACUGAAGGAUCCACACUGUGAACUGGAGACACUAUACAUUAACUGUAAUAAACUCACCAGGACUGAUGUCUGACAGGAGUCUCACCUCAAACCUCGUCUCCAGGAUAAAGCAGUUUUGGUGAAGCAAAGAACCAGUCCCACAUUUCCAGCAGUUUGGGAGCUGAAUCAUUAAACUUAUAGGGGCAGAGCAGAAACAAAGUCAAGAACAGGCAGAAGGUCAUACACAGGAGAAAUCAACACACAUAACCAAAUAUCUGCUGUACAAAGCAACAGCAACGAUCUGCCCCGGGGAUGGAGACUGACGAGGCUUAAGUACACGUCGGGAAAUGUACAGCCAACUAAUUACAACGCAUGAGGCGGGAGCAGGCGUGUACGAGAUGUGAUUGUCCAACGGCAAGCCGGAACAUGACGCAUUGCAGUGGACUGGGCUUAAAAGAGGAGGAGACAAAAGACACCCAUCCCACCCCGGACAUAGACACACGAAUGGCACGUAGUACAAACAGAAAUACAAUUGAGGACGUAACAAUGGUCAAGUAUCAAAUAAAAUGUAAACUUGCAUUGAUGAAGUUAAUGUUGUUAGUAAUUGUUUAAAAAUUACCAUGGUAACACAGAGCACCAAGGUAUAAAAAUAUGGAACUUGUCAUCAACCAAAGAGUAACCAGUUUUAAUACCUAAAAAAGUUUACGUAGCAAAUGUUAGCAAAACGCUUUACUGUAAAUUAAAAUGUAAAAUUAAACUAAUGAAAUUUAAAUUAAAUGAUGAAUUAAAACUCUGUUCUGUUUUUAAACCCGAGGUAAAUUAAACGGAAGCUGUGUGGCCGAAUCCCAAAUUGAUGUGUAAUUUCCGGUUUAAGUGCACUACAUUAGGGAUGAAAUAAUGACUGUCUACACCAUAUAUAGUGCACUAUUUAACUAAUUAGGAGAGAUUUGUAAUUCUGUUUUAGCGGCACUAUUUAAUUAUAACCUUACUUUAUCCUAAAAUCCAUUGUUUGCUCCCUGCUUAUAGCAACUAAAAUAAAAAAACAAGGAGUGUAAACGUAGCUAAGUAAUUUAGCAGCUAAAUAUAAAGCUGUAUAAACUGCAAAACUGAGCUAAAGUUGGGUUUAUAUUGGACAUUCGCUGCACUUUUGAGCUUCUCUCUUCUAUUUCUCAAUAAACGCACAAACAGGACAAAAUGUGCGUGUAUAUUUGGCGAGGUCACUUCGUAAAGAAACACUACGCGCAUGCGCACAUAAACAUUCACGUUAACGUGUCCGCCAUAUUGGUCCGGAAAAGACCACACUAUAAACAAAUACAAGUAAACGGGGGAGCUGCGUUUUUUCUGGAUAAAAAGCACAAUAAUGUUUACAUUUCUCAAACGAUUUUAAUGGUUUAUGAUCUACAUGGAGUACAAAAAAGUUCUGUCUCCACUUGCUUACAAUCUCGAUAGUUAGACUUGGAAAAUUAUUCAUUGUCAUAAGGAUUUGUGAAAACUCACGCUUGUCAAGCGUAAAUCUGGCUUAUUUUUCUUGGUUAAUAAAUGCUGACAUCCCUAAUGUAAUGUAAUGUACAUGAAAUGUGUAUAGAGUUUGUUUUCAUUGUAGAAAUAGAUUUUUGUCUUCAACCCCAUCUUUUAGCUUUUCUUAUGCUCAAGGUCAGAAUUCUGUUAACAAAACUCGCUCACGUUUAAAUAC